UACGUAGGGUCCGAGCGUUGUCCGGAAUUACUGGGCGUAAAGAGCUCGUAGGUGGUUUGUCGCGUUGUCCGUGAAAACUCACAGCUCAACUGUGGGCGUGCGGGCGAUACGGGCAGACUGGAGUACUGCAGGGGAGACUGGAAGUUCCUGGUGUAGCGGUGGAAUGCGCAGGAUAUCAGGAGGAACACCGGUGGCGAAGGCGG
rnacentral:rRNA from 1 species